rnacentral:lncRNA from 1 species
CACUGCAACCUCCGCCUCCCGGGUUCAAGCGAUUCUCCUGCCUCAGCCUCCCAAGCAGCUGGGAUUACAGGCAUGUGCCACCAUGCCCAGCUAAUUUUGUAUUUUUAGUAGAGAUGGGGUUUCUCCAUGUUGGUCAGGCUGGUCUCGAACUCCCGACCUCAGGUGAUCCGCCCGCCUUAGCCUCCCAAAGUGCUGGGAUUACAGGCAUAAGCCACCACACCUGGCCUGUUUGCUUAAGUUUUAUAUAUACAAAUGUUCUUAGGAAAGCACUAUUGGGAAGAAAACUAGUUACUGAUACAAAUUCCCUGUUUAAUAUUCAAGGCAUUACACAGUAGAUUAAUCAGGCAAUUGAAUUAGAAAUUUUACACAGUAG